AGAGUUUGAUCCUGGCUCAGGAUGAACGCUAGCGGCAGGCCUAACACAUGCAAGUCGAGGGAGGAGCCUUCGGGCUUCGACCGGCGUACGGGUGCGUAACGCGUAUACAAUCUGCCUUUCACAUAGGGAUAGCCCGAAGAAAUUUGGAUUAAUACCUAAUGGUAUAUAGGAGCGGCAUCGUUUUUAUAUUAAAGCUACGGUGGUGAAAGAUGAGUAUGCGUUCUAUUAGCUAGUUGGAGAGGUAACGGCUCCCCAAGGCGACGAUAGAUAGGGGUUCUGAGAGGGAUAUCCCCCACACUGGUACUGAGAUACGGACCAGACUCCUACGGGAGGCAGCAGUGAGGAAUAUUGGACAAUGGUCGGAAGACUGAUCCAGCCAUGCCGCGUGCAGGAAGACGGCCUUAUGGGUUGUAAACUGCUUUUGCAGGGGAAGAAUAAGGACUACGCGUAGUUUGAUGACGGUACUCUGCGAAUAAGCAUCGGCUAACUCCGUGCCAGCAGCCGCGGUAAUACGGAGGAUGCGAGCGUUAUCCGGAUUUAUUGGGUUUAAAGGGUGCGUAGGCGGCCUGUUAAGUCAGCGGUGAAAUCUAGGAGCUUAACUCCUAAAUUGCCAUUGAUACUGGCGGGCUUGAGUGUAGAUGAGGUAGGCGGAAUGCGUGGUGUAGCGGUGGAAUGCAUAGAUAUCACGCAGAACUCCGAUUGCGAAGGCAGCUUACUAAGGUACAACUGACGCUGAAGCACGAAAGCGUGGGUAUCAAACAGGAUUAGAUACCCUGGUAGUCCACGCAGUAAACGAUGAUAACUGGGCGUAUGCGAUAUACAGUAUGCUCCUAAGCGAAAGCGUUAAGUUAUCCACCUGGGGAGUACGCCGGCAACGGUGAAACUCAAAGGAAUUGACGGGGGCCC
rnacentral:rRNA from 1 species